rnacentral:lncRNA from 1 species
AUUCCGGUACCCGUCACCUUGGAGCUGGCCAAACUUGGGGAUCCAAAAGCUCUGCAGCGUCGUCCCCCACGAACCUCCCUGCCCCCUGCUCCUGAUUCCCUUUCAGGAAUUUACAAACAUUUUUCCCUAGAUCAAUAUCCGUAUUGAUUAUUCAUUGUGAGCGAGUCGUGUGUCUUUGGUGAUCCAGCUUGCAGAGGGUAGCAGCUAAAGACUGCUGCAGGGGGAAAAAAUAACAGAAGGUGAGAAGGACCCAGCUCUGACUGGGGUCUGCGGCUGUCACAUCACAGAGAGGGAGAAGAAGAAGAGAAUGCUCCAGAAUGAAAGGAUGGAGAAGGGUGGAAGAGAAAGAGGGAGCGACAGCAAGAAAGAAAGAUGCAAGGACUGCAUCUGGUCUUAGGGAUCUCAAUGGCUUGGAGGAAAGCCCCAUCAUCUUGGGUCUGCUGCUAGGUGCAAAAUGCCGUGCGUUCCUCUGCUCUGGGAGUGAACAGUGACUCACGGUUUUGGUGUCUUCCUACGUAAGAGCUUUUGGUGGGGGGAUUCCUUGGCUUGCUGACAGACAAGGAAGGACGCAGCAGCAGUGAGGUAAAAGAAGAGGAAGAAAAAAAAAAAGCAACCCAGUCCUUUCCAACCGAUUCGCCGAGGAUGUGCACCGGUUCGGUUUGAUUUGAACAGCUUGCUGCUCUAAAUGGCAUGCAGGAGGAUAAUUAAAAAGGCCAGCAUCACUUACUAAGGAUUACUGGAAAAGACGGUGAGAGGAUGACAGGAAGACAUCUUGGAUCAGAGCCAAAAAAAUAAUAAUCAAGGCAAAUCAAGUCUGCAGUUCGGAGAAAACACCCAUGGCUUGGGAAGCUCCGAAGGGAACCUGGGAACUGCUGGAGUUCUUCAGCCGAGGCUGGGAAUAUUGUUGUGGGCACAAGAGGACAAGAUUGGGGAAAGUCAUGGCAUGCCAGCUUACACAGCUAAGCCGCACACUGAGGAAAAAGAAAAGCCACACCAGAUCCACACCAGACCCAAACAGUGAGAGCCAACAUAUCCUUUGCUUUGGAGUCUUUCUGCUGGCUCCAAGUCAUUCCGUCUAUUUAGAGCAAUUCCACAACAUGCCUCCUGCCAGUAGCUGCUAUUCUCCUUGCCUGUCUUCAGAAGUUGCCUCACUGUUGAACGGGAGAGUGGAAAGAGGGGAGACUCAGUUUUCCAUUGGCUGGGAUUCUGGCAAAUGGGCCAGGUGAUUGUGUUUGCCAUUUGGACAGACAUACGGGAGCUGGUUGGGGAUUCCUCUUUGUUGUCACCCAGCUGUGGCUUGGUGAGUCCCAAACCAACCGUGAACUCUUUUUAUACACUGUUCCAAACGCAUAUGGACAAGAUGGGGACCCCAAGGAAUAAAAACAGUUGGAUUUUCUUUUC